rnacentral:tRNA from 1 species
GCAGUGGUGGUUCAGUGGUAGAAUUCUCACCUUCCAGGUGGGAGAUCUGGGUUCAAGUUCCGGCCAAAGCA